UACGGGGGGGCAAGCGUUGUUCGGAAUUACUGGGCGUAAAGGGCUCGUAGGUGGCCAACUAAGUCAGACGUGAAAUCCCUCGGCUUAACCGGGGAACUGCGUCUGAUACUGGAUGGCUUGAGUUCGGGAGAGGGAUGCGGAAUUCCAGGUGUAGCGGUGAAAUUCGUAGAGAUCAGGUGGAACACCGGAGGCGAAGGCGCCUGCCUGGCAGUGUAUUGACGCUGAGGUGCGAAAGUGCGGGGAGCAAACAGG
rnacentral:rRNA from 1 species